rnacentral:rRNA from 1 species
GACGAACCGUGCGAACGUUGUUCGGAAUCACUGGGCUUAAAGGGCGCGUAGGCGGGCCGCCAAGUCCGCGUUGAAAUCCCCCGGCUCAACCGGGGAACUGCCGCGGAUACUGGAGGUCUCGAGGGAGGUAGGGGCAUGCGGAACUGCGGGUGGAGCGGUGAAAUGCGUUGAUAUCCGCAGGAACUCCGGUGGCGAAGGCGGCGUGCUGGACCUUUUCUGACGCUGAGGCGCGAAAGCCAGGGGAGCGAACGGG